rnacentral:rRNA from 1 species
UUUUGGGCAAUGGGGGCAACCCUGAUGCAGCCAUGCCGCGUGAAUGAAGAAGGCCUUCGGGUUGUAAAGUUCUUUCGGCGAUGACGAAGUAGGAUGUUUAAAUACGGCAUUCAAUUGACGUUAAUCACAGAAGAAGCACCGGCUAACUCCGUGCCAGCAGCCGCGGUAAUACGGAGGGUGCGAGCGUUAAUCGGAAUAACUGGGCGUAAAGGGCACGCAGGCGGAUAAUUAAGUGAGAUGUGAAAUCCCCGAGCUUAACUUGGGAAUUGCAUUUCAUACUGGUUAUCUAGAGUAUUGUAGAGAGGGGUAGAAUUCCACGUGUAGCGGUGAAAUGCGUAGAUAUGUGGAGGAACACCGGAGGCGAAGGCGGCCCCCUGACAAAGACUGGCGCUCAUGUGCGAAA